GCAAAAUGUUUUGCUUCGAGGCAAUAAAACGUAAAAUAAUAAUAAAAUAAGAGCAUUAUUUGCGCUUCCCGGAACCAAUAUGCGCCGCCCGGAAGUGUUUGGCCAUUGUCCUUGUUUACUGCACGGACAUUUGUUGCAGAUGCAUGCAGUUUUGCCCAGUGUAAACGACAGGAGCGUCUAUGUGCCCAGUGAUUGGCUGGCGACCGCUCAAGGGUGUACAGCUGCGAUUGGCUCCAGCUCACCCGCGACCCGAAUGAGGACAAGCGCUACAGAAAACGGGAUGGAUGGGGCGGGGUCGAGGAGAGUCAUGAAUAUAUUCAUCGGCGUGCUCACAUGCCCGCUGAAGCCGAAAUGUCACGCGUGUUUUUAAUGUAUGCAAUAUG